rnacentral:rRNA from 1 species
CACGGAGGGUGCAAACGUUGCUCGGAAUCAUUGGGCGUAAAGCGCACGUAGGCGGCCGAUUAAGUCGGAUGUGAAAGCCCCGGGCUCAACCCGGGAAGUGCAUACGAAACUGGUCGGCUUGAAUAUGGAAGAGGGUCGCGGAAUUCCCGGUGUAGAGGUGAAAUUCGUAGAUAUCGGGAGGAACACCAGUGGCGAAGGCGGCGACCUGGGCCAAUAUUGACGCUGAGGUGCGAAAGCGUGGGGAGCAAACAGG